rnacentral:RNase_P_RNA from 1 species
GUAGUUGGGUAACUGAGCCUUUGUAAGGUUAGGAAAGUCCAUGCUAGCACAAUCUGAGAUGAUUGUAGUGUUUGUGCUUAGCCAAAAAAUAAGCUAAGGCAUGAAAAUGACGGCGAAAGAAGCCUAAGUCCUAUUUGGAUAUGGUGUAUUUCUUAAAGUGCCACAGAGACGAUUCUUUUAGAAAUGAAAGACUGAAACGUUGGUAAACCCCACAAGCUAGAAACCCAAAUUUUGGUAGGGGAGCUUUAUUUAAGUGAAUAAGGAAACUUAAAUAGAGGCAAAUAUAUUUGCAGAUAAAUAGUUACCGCCUUUAUAAGGUACAAAACAUGGCUUAUAGAC